rnacentral:rRNA from 1 species
GACGAACGCUGGCGGCGUGCCUAAUACAUGCAAGUUGAGCGAUGAAGCUUGGUGCUUGCGCCAAUUUGGAGAGCAGCGGACGGGUGAGUAACGCGUGGGGAAUCUGCCUUUGAGCGGGGGACAACAUUUGGAAACGAAUGCUAAUACCGCAUAACAACUUUAAACAUAAGUUUUAAGUUUGAAAGAUGCAAUUGCAUCACUCAAAGAUGAUCCCGCGUUGUAUUAGCUAGUUGGUGAGGUAAAGGCUCACCAAGGCGAUGAUACAUAGCCGACCUGAGAGGGUGAUCGGCCACAUUGGGACUGAGACACGGCCCAAACUCCUACGGGAGGCAGCAGUAGGGAAUCUUCGGCAAUGGACGAAAGUCUGACCGAGCAACGCCGCGCGAGUGAAGAAGGUUUUCGGAUCGUAAAACUCUGUUGGUAGGGAAGAACGUUGGUGAGAGUGGAAAGCGCAUCAAGGGACGGUAACUACCCAGAAAGGGACGGCUAACUACGU